UACGGAGGGUGCAAGCGUUAUCCGGAUUCACUGGGUUUAAAGGGUGCGUAGGCGGGCUUGUAAGUCCGUGGUGAAAUCCCCAAGCUUAACUUGGGAACUGCCAUGGAUACUAUAAGUCUUGAAUGUUGUGGAGGUGAGCGGAAUAUGUCAUGUAGCGGUGAAAUGCUUAGAGAUGACAUAGAACACCGAUUGCGAAGGCAGCUCACUGCGCAAAGAUUGACGCUGAGGCACGAAAGCGUGGGGAUCAAACAGG
rnacentral:rRNA from 1 species